UUGGGUGUCUUGGCCUACAUCACAAAUAAGGACAACCUCAACCCAACACAACAUGUCGACAUAUGCAACAAAUAAACAUAAACACAGAGCCAGCAAAUACAGAUAAUCAUAUAAAUCUACUCAACAGAUACAACUAUCAUAUCACUAUCCUGACCAGGAUAAAUAAUCUAGUGGGCCGACAUUGGUGCCUUGGACCCAUAGGUAUAGUGAGGAAAACUCACCUCUUAUUCUGAAUGCAAGCUAAAUGAAUCUCGGUCCUGAAAAUCGGCUCAAUGAUCACCUAACCAAAACCAAGGACCUAAUCUCAAUUAAUCAGCUCAAAAUACCUAAAAUACCCCUAGGUCAAUUUAGUCAAAGAUCUAGUAAAAGGUCAAGGUUAACGGGUCAACUUGGUCCACUCAGCUUAGUACGCGGGGCUUACUCAGCUCCUAUGUUGGGCAUACUCAUGUUUUAACCGGAGUCUAGUGGUUGACCACGUGCAUGCGACCUACGCUGGGUUACGCACGACGUAUGCACAAAAUCCUUUUUCCUCAAUAAGAGCUUAAUGCAUUAAGCUCUCACAUCCCUAUUUUAAAUCCAAGGUCAAAAUACCACUAAGAGUCAUAAAGUCUCCAACUUUAUGACUUUACAUGCCCAUUAAUUGCUUAAUACACAAAUUCCUAACUUCUUAACACCUUAAGACCUUCUAGAGCAUGCAUGGGGAAAAACUAAGCAUCAAGACCACAUUUUUAUGUCUCAAGAACCCUCAUUAGGUCUGAAAGGACGACUUAGUCGACUAAGAGCAUGCCAUGCUCAAGAAUCAUCAUAGUUGGGACCAAAAAUGCCUUAAAUGAAGAAAUAGCUAGAUAUAUAAGAUAAGAUGAUCAAGCUAUGAUCUUUUUACCUCCUAGAGGUUGCUAGCAAAGAGAGAAUCCCAGAACCAUGUUGCUUCCAAGCUCCAAAGUUUUCCGACCACCUUCCUGUUCUUCAAGAAUACUACCAAAACACAAAGAUGAGCUCAAGAUGCACUCUUCUCACUUAGGAUUAGCUAGAGGGAAGUUUUCUUAGGUGAAGGCUGAUGAGGGAAUGAGAAAUGAGGAGUAAAUGAUGAUUAUAUAUGGACCAAACAUAAAAUUUAGGGUUUAAGGAUCUUUCACGUACGCCCCGCGUACGCGUUGUACGCCUAGCGUACUAAUGCCCGCGCAUGUACACCCAAAGUACACAACAUACGCUCAAGGUACUAAGUUUUGCCCGUAAUUUAACAUAAUGCCACUAUGGGACCAAUUUUCAAACAAGACUCAUUCCAAGGGAUAAAAUCAUAGAGCUUAAUACUUAUGAGUAAAUUUUGAAAUGCCUCCGGUUCCCAGGUCCACUCGGAUUAGGUUGGUGAUGAAAUCCAUGUUGAUAUGUGUUGGAUUAGGUGUCUAAUCCCAUAACUAUAAAUGGGAUGUACUUGACCCGAUAGUAGCAUGGUCCUUUUGGGUUGCCUUCACACUGGUGACUAGACAGGAUGACUAUUGAGGAGAGAGGCUGAUUUAUUAUUAAGAAUAAUAAACUGGGGCAUAAAUAUGAUUAUUUAAUAUAUUAUAUGAAUAAUAUAUUAAUUUGGAAUCAUAUUAUUAAUUAGUAUUUAAUCAGAAAUUAAUUUGGAAUUAAUUUUGGGAUUAAAGGAACUGAUUAAAAGUACACGGGUUGUUUUGUAAUUAUUUGAUAGUUGAGGCUUUGGGCCAUUGGAUCACCCUUGUUAGGGCUAGGUCAAAAAUCCUAGAAGGAUCUAGGAUAUUUCGUCCAAGGCCUAAUGCAAGGAGGUCCAUGGACUUGCUUAGGCCCUAAGCUAGGGAUUAGGGUUUCCACUCUAAGUUUUGGAGUAAAGUUUUAAUGGAUUAAGAGUUGUAAAUGAAAAUUUGGGUGAAUGAGGGAGUACGUUGGGCAUACAAGCAGGUAAGCUUAGCAUACAAGCCCUAAGGCGAGUACGUUGCACGUACGAGCUGAGUACGCCCCGCGUUCUCCGCAGGUUGGGCCUCAGAAUCUUGGAUCUUUGGUUUGCGCCAUAUUUUGGGCUUAGAUGAUUAGGGCCAUUUUGGGCCAUCAGAAUUCAAGUGUUUUGGGCUAGCAAUAUUUUUGGGCCUUGGAUUAAGGCCCAUGAAAGGGAUUUGGGGACCAAUUUGGAAAAUUGGGCCAUAAUUGGGUCUUGGAUGAUUACUUUGGUAAUUGGGCCUUUUAGAUUGUAGAUUGGGCUUUAGCCUUGGAUCAAACUAGGUAAGGGGUAAAAUGGUCUUAUUACCCUAAUUUUGGACUGAUGGUUAUGGAUUGGAAUCCAAUUAUUAAUUGGACAUUAUUUUGUAUUAAUGGCUCGGGGAUUUAUAAGACUAGCAGCCAGAGAUUUAUUUGUGUGAUUCAGUAGUUCGAGGUGAGUUUCCUCACCAUGUUUAGCAGGUCGAAGGCACCAAUGCCGACCCAUGAUCUUUUAUAUUAGAAUACUCGAUGUUUGUGUGACACUUGUGUGUGUAUGUGCUUGUAUUCUUAUUGGGCGGGGCCCGAUGGUUAUUCUGUAUGCUAUUACCUGAUAUGCAUAUAUGAACUGUAUGUGGGCGGGGCCCGUUAUGUGAGUUUGGGCGGGGCCCGUUAUACUCACUGGGUGGGUCCCAUUAUGUGAGUUUGGGUGGGGCCCAUUAUACUCACUGGGUGGGGCUCGUUAUACGAGUGUGGGCGGGGCUCGUUAUACAAGUGUGGGCGAGGCCCGUUAUGUGUUAUGUAUGUAUGGUAUGUGGUAUGUUAGGGAACUCACUAAGCUUUGUGCUUACCGUUUUCAGCUUAUAUUUCAGGUACUUCUGGUUCCAAAGGGAAGAGCUUAGGAUGAUUGUAGCGCACACACAGCACCUCGUUCUGCAUCUUGUGAUUCACUCUGAUAUGAUAUGUUGAUCGAUACAUUUGUUUAUCUGGAUUUUUAUGAUGUUGUAUUUGGGAUAUCGAUUUUAUUAAAUUAAAAAUGAAAUUUUUGGGUCUUAUUUUUUGGAUGUUACAAGUUGGUAUCAGAGCUUUGGUUUAAGGGAUUCGAGCAUAAUCUCGGGUGUGUCUCAACUCAAUCUAAGGAUUUGGUAAAGUUUUUCAAAAAUGAAAAAUGAUUUAAAAAGGAAAACAAGUUUUCUAAUACAAGAAAAGGUGUGGUGCAUGUAAUCGACCGAGCUUAAGUAAGUUUCCCAAGAUACCCAUACAUGUUAUUUGAUAUGAUUUGAUUUGUGAAUCUAUGAACCACAUGUUAUUUAGGGCUAAGGAUUUGCUCAAUAUUUGCAUGAUAAAAUUCUAGGAGAGAUGCCUUUGUAUGCCUAUUGUAUGAGCAUGUAGACUUGAAUGCUAGUACUGAUCAGUCAGCGAUUGGAUGGUCUGAUUAGGUGAUGCUUGGUUCUGAUUACUUGAUGCUCGAAUGUUGCUUUCUUUGUGUUUUUAGGAGUUCUUACUAGCUUUAACUAACUAAUGAUCAAAUAUGCUAACUCACAUUUUAUCGAAACUAAAUAAUUUUAGAAGGUUAGGUUUUAACUCUAUGGCGCAACUCUUGUUUGAAUCCAACCAUUGUAGUGUGAGACCUUUCAUUCGAAGAAUUAUCUAUUUUUAGUGAUAUGUAAUUGUAUUUGUGAGCUAGUUAAAGGAAGUUAGCCAGAGUUCCUUCUGAAUCUGAUGGUGGAGAGUGGUUUGGAGUCUCCCUAGGAAAACCUAAGAUGAAAGCUAGCUCUAGGAGUCUUAUUUUUUUGAGGGUUAAUUAUAUGGAUAUAGGGUGACUUGGUGGAUUCAAGGCAAUCCUUGAGGAAAGUACGGAUAUAUGUGGCAGGUAGUAUGGGCCCGUACUACUGGAAGCAAAUGAUCUGUACUCAAGUCAAGGGGACCUCUCAUUCGAAGAAUUGUCUAGUUCUGGUGAUAUGUAAUGGUAUUCGUGAGCUAGUUAGAGGAGGUUAGUGGGAGUUCCUUCUGCAACUGAUGGCUGAGAUAUGUAGUGCUAGGAGCCUUAUCUUGCUAAGGGUUAAUUGUAUGGAUAUAAAGUGACUUGGUGGAUCAAAGGAAAUCCUUAAGGAACGUACUAAUAGACGUGGAACGUAGUAUGGGCUCGUACUACUGGAAGCAGAGGAUCCAUACUCUAGUUAAGGAGGGAUGCGAUGAAACCAGGAAGCUCGUAGAGAUUGUGAUCCCUCAAUGCAUUCUGAUGGUUUAUAUGGUCUAUGUUCAGUAUGGUGACAUUGCGAGGUUGGCCUGUUGGCAGCUCUGGUGUUGGAGAGGGCUCGGGCUUAUGUUCUGGAGCCGAGCAACUAGAUAAUCAGACUAGGGAGUUUAUCUCGUUUGAUAUUACGUGUUGCAUUCUUAAGCAGACUCAUGUGAUCUUUAGCACGGUCAAGGAGGAUAUUCUAGAGAUUUUGGAUGAGGGCUUAAGUGCCUUUUGUUCUGAGAUGGUGGCCUUAGACCCACAAGUAUAGUGAGGAAAACUCACCUCUCAUUCUGAAUGCAAGCUAAAUGAAUCUCGGUCCUGAAAAUCGGCACAAUGAUCACCUAACCAAAACCAAGGAGCUAAUCUCAAUUAAUCAGCUCAAAAUACCUAAAAUACCCCUAGGUCAAUUUAGUCAAAGAUCUAGUAAAAGGUCAAGGUUAACGGGUCAACUUGGUCCACUCAGCUUAGUACACGGGGCUUACUCAGCUCCUAUGUUGGGCGUACU
rnacentral:lncRNA from 1 species